rnacentral:rRNA from 1 species
CACGCUGUAAACGAUGAUCACUAGGUGUAGCGGGUACUCAUUCCUGCUGUGCCGCAGCUAACGCGUUAAGUGAUCCGCCUGGGGAUUACGGUCGCAAGACUAAAACUCAAAGGAAUUGAC